rnacentral:rRNA from 1 species
GACGAACGCUGGCGGCGUGCCUAAUACAUGCAAGUAGAACGCUGAAGGAGGAGCUUGCUCUUCUGGAUGAGUUGCGAACGGGUGAGUAACGCGUAGGUAACCUGCCUGGUAGCGGGGGAUAACUAUUGGAAACGAUAGCUAAUACCGCAUAACAGUAGAUGUUGCAUGACAUUUGCUUAAAAGGUGCAAUUGCACCACUACCAGAUGGACCUGCGUUGUAUUAGCUAGUUGGUGGGGUAACGGCUCACCAAGGCGACGAUACAUAGCCGACCUGAGAGGGUGAUCGGCCACACUGGGACUGAGACACGGCCCAGACUCCUACGGGAGGCAGCAGUAGGGAAUCUUCGGCAAUAGACGGAAGUCUGACCGAGCAACGCCGCGUGAGUGAAGAAGGUUGUCGGAUCGUAAAGCUCUGUUGUAAGAGAAGAACGAGUGUGAGAGUGGAAAGUUCACACUGUGACGGUAGCUUACCAGAAAGGGACGGCUAACUACGUG